AACCUUCAAAACCGCAGCUCCCUGCAAGACAGUGGAGGAUCUGACCUCAGGGGCAGCCAUGUCUCAGGCCCUGCAUCAGAUAGAUCCUUCAUGGUUCAGUGAGAGCUGGCUGGCCCGUAUUAAAGAGGAUGUUGGAAAUAAUGUGAGACUCAAGAUGAACAACCUCAAAAAGAUCCUGCAGAUGAUGGUUGAUUAUUAUAAUGAG